CCUACGGGUGGCAGCAGUGAGGAAUAUUGGUCAAUGGACGAGAGUCUGAACCAGCCAAGUAGCGUGAAGGAUGACUGCCCUAUGGGUUGUAAACUUCUUUUAUAUGGGAAUAAAAUGUUCCACGUGUGGGAUUUUGUAUGUACCAUAUGAAUAAGGAUCGGCUAACUCCGUGCCAGCAGCCGCGGUAAUACGGAGGAUCCGAGCGUUAUCCGGAUUUAUUGGGUUUAAAGGGAGCGUAGGUGGAUUGUUAAGUCAGUUGUGAAAGUUUGUGGCUCAACCGUAAAAUUGCAGUUGAAACUGGCAGUCUUGAGUACAGUAGAGGUGUGCGGAAUUCGUGGUGUAGCGGUGAAAUGCUUAGAUAUCACGAAGAACUCCGAUUGCGAAGGCAGUUCACUGGACUGCAACUGACACUGAGGCUCGAAAGUGUGGGUAUCAAACAGGAUUAGAUACCCUGGUAGUC
rnacentral:rRNA from 1 species